UUGACCUCGGAUCAGGUAGGGAUACCCGCUGAACUUAAGCAUAUCAAUAAGCGGAGGAAAAGAAACCAACAGGGAUUGCCCCAGUAACGGCGAGUGAAGCGGCAAGAGCUCAAAUUUGAAAGCUGGCUCCUUCGGG
rnacentral:rRNA from 4 species